UGAUCAGCUUUCUGUAACUCUUCCUGACUCGACAUUUCCAAGCUGUGCUUCCUCAUAUCUAAGCCACCUCACCACAGCAUUUGACACUAGGAAUCCAUGCGUGUGUGUGUGUGUGUGUGUACUUUCCUUUUGAUACUUUACCGAUGAUAUGCACACUAAUUUUUCUGAUCUAUAGCCAUUUUAUUUCAAAAAAUCUACUUUCCUUCAAAGCAGCUUUAAUGCCAUUUCCACAGACAAAGAAAUUGGCAAGUGUGUCUCUAUUUAGACCUUAAACUCCGCAUUGCAUCUGGAACACUCUCACUGAGGACCCAGGCCCACUCCGUUACUAGCUUUCAUUGGUCAACAACAGAACCAAGGCAAUGUCAGGAAGAAAAGCUUGUU
rnacentral:lncRNA from 1 species